GAUGAAGAACGUAGCGAAAUGCGAUACUUGGUGUGAAUUGCAGAAUCCCGUGAACCAUCGAGUCUUUGAACGCAAGUUGCGCCCGAAGCCAUUAGGCCGAGGGCACGCCUGCCUGGGCGUCACACGUCGUUGCCCCCCCAUCUACUCCUUCGGGAUUGCGAGGGGCGGAUGAUGGCCUACCGUGCGCCUCGUCGCGCGGUUGGCAUAAAUGCCAAGUCCUCGGCGACGCACGCCACGACAAUCGGUGGUUGCGAAACCUCGGUUGCCCGUCGUGUGCGGUCGUCGCGCAUCGAGGGCUCGAAAAAAUUGCCGGGCUCCGGCUCGGCUUUCAACGCGACCCCAGGUCAGGCGGGGUUACCCGCUGAAUUUAAGCAUAUCAAUAAGCGGAGGA
rnacentral:misc_RNA from 1 species